AGGAAUACCAGUGGCGAAGGCGGCCUUCUGGCCUGACACUGACACUGAGGUGCGAAAGCGUGGGUAGCAAACAGGAUUAGAUACCCUGGUAGUCCACGCCGUAAACGAUGUCGACUAGCCGUUGGGACCUUUAAGGACUUAGUGGCGCAGUUAACGCGAUAAGUCGACCGCCUGGGGAGUACGGCCGCAAGGUUAAAACUCAAAUGAAUUGACGGGGGCCCGCACAAGCGGUGGAGCAUGUGGUUUAAUUCGAUGCAACGCGAAGAACCUUACCUACCCUUGACAUCCAGAGAACUUGGCAGAGAUGCCUUGGUGCCUUCGGGAACUCUGAGACAGGUGCUGCAUGGCUGUCGUCAGCUCGUGUUGUGAAAUGUUGGGUUAAGUCCCGUAACGAGCGCAACCCUUGUCCUUAUUUGCCAGCACGUAAUGGUGGGAACUCUAAGGAGACUGCCGGUGACAAACCGGAGGAAGGUGGGGACGACGUCAAGUCAUCAUGGCCCUUACGGGUAGGGCUACACACGUGCUACAAUGGCCGGUACAAAGGGUUGCGAGACCGCGAGGUGGAGCGAAUCCCAGAAAGCCGGCCUCAGUCCGGAUCGGAGUCUGCAACUCGACUCCGUGAAGUCGGAAUCGCUAGUAAUCGUGAAUCAGAAUGUCACGGUGAAUACGUUCCCGGGCCUUGUACACACCGCCCGUCACACCAUGGGAGUGGACUGCACCAGAAGUGGUUAGCUUAACCUUCGGGGGAGCGAUCACACGGUGUGGUUCAUGACUGGGGUGAAGUCGUAA
rnacentral:rRNA from 1 species